CCCUUAGAUGUUCUGGGCUGCACGCGCGCUACACUGACGCACGCAACAGGUGCCUGCUCCGAGAGGACUGGGUAAUCAUUUGAGUGUGCGUCGUGAUGGGGAUAGAAUAUUGUAAUUAUUACUCUUCAACGAGGAAUUCCUAGUAAGCGCCAGUCAGCAGCUUGCGCUGAUUACGUCCCUGCCCUUUGUACACACCGCCCGUCGCUCCUACCGAUGGGUGAUCCGGUGAAUGAUUCGGACUUCAGCGGCUCCCCGGGGGUGCGCCGGAGAAAGUUUUGUGAACCUUAUCACUUGGAGGAAGGAGAAGUCGUAACA
rnacentral:rRNA from 1 species